ACGGAAGGCGGCAGUGAGGAAUAUUGGACAAUGGUCGGAAGACUGAUCCAGCCAUGCCGCGUGAAGGCAGACGGUCCUAUGGAUUGUAAACUUCUUUUGUACGGGAGCAAUAAGGUCCACGCGUGGGCUGAUGAGAGUACCGUACGAAUAAGCAUCGGCUAACUCCGUGCCAGCAGCCGCGGUAAUACGGAGGAUGCGAGCGUUAUCCGGAUUUAUUGGGUUUAAAGGGUGCGUAGGCGGACUGGUAAGUAAGCGGUGAACCGCAGGGGCUCAACCCCUGACCUGCCGUUGAAACUGUUGGUCUGGAAUGCGGAUGCUGUGGGAGGAAUGUGUGGUGUAGCGGUGAAAUGCAUAGAUAUCACACAGAACACCGAUUGCGAAGGCAUCUCACAAAUCCGCUAUUGACGCUGAGGCACGAAAGUGCGGGGAUCGAACAGGAUUAGAUACCCUGGUA
rnacentral:rRNA from 1 species